rnacentral:rRNA from 1 species
AACGAACGCUGGCGGCGGGGCUUAGGCAUGCAAGUCGAGCGAGAAAGCCGCAAGGCGAGUACAGCGGCGUAAGGGUGAGUAAUAGGUAGUCAACGUACCUCGCAGACGCGGAUAAUUUCCCGAAAGGGAUUGUAAUACGCGAUGAGACCACGGGCCCUUCGGGGCUUGGGGUCAAACGUAGGGGACCCUUCGGGGCCUCGCGCUGUGGGAGCGGACGACCUCCGAUUAGCUAGUUGGCGGGGUAACGGCCCACCAAGGCGAUGAUCGGUAGCCGGCCUGAGAGGGUGUUCGGCCACACUGGGGACUGAGACACUGCCCAGACUCCUACGGGAGGCUGCAGUCGCGAAUCAUUCACAAUGGGCGCAAGCCUGAUGAUGCCACGCCGCGUGCGGGAUGAAGGUCCUUUGGGUUGUAAACCGCUGUCAAGGAGGGGGAAACGCAUGGUGUUAACAGCGCCAUGUUUGACUGCCC